rnacentral:rRNA from 1 species
UCUGGUGACAAUAGCAUUGUGGUCCCACCUGAUCCCAUCCCGAACUCAGAAGUGAAACGCAAUCGCGCUGAUGGUAGUGUGGGGUCUCCCCAUGUGAGAGUAGGUCAUCGCCAGAC